rnacentral:sRNA from 1 species
GACGUCGACGGAUCGACACCGGCUGACCAGGAUGGUCGCCAAGGACAGUCGCAGGAUGCGGCUUCAUCAGGAUGAUGAGUCGACGGAUGAUGAGUCGACGGAAGAGAAGACGACGUAAAACACAAACGGCGAGGCUCACCCCUCGCCGUUUUUGUU